GACGAACGCUGGCGGCGUGCUUAACACAUGCGAGUCGAACGGAAAGGCCCUGCUUUUGUGGGGUGCUCGAGUGGCGAACGGGUGAGUAACACGUGAGUAACCUGCCCUUGACUUUGGGAUAACUUCAGGAAACUGGGGCUAAUACCGGAUAGGAGCUCCUGCUGCAUGGUGGGGGUUGGAAAGUUUCGGCGGUUGGGUAUGGACUCGCGGCUUAUCAGCUUGUUGGUGGGGUAGUGGCUUACCAAGGCUUUGACGGGUAGCCGGCCUGAGAGGGUGACCGGCCACAUUGGGACUGAGAUACGGCCCAGACUCCUACGGGAGGCAGCAGUGGGGAAUAUUGCACAAUGGGCGGAAGCCUGAUGCAGCAACGCCGCGUGCGGGAUGACGGCCUUCGGGUUGUAAACCGCUUUCGCCUGUGACGAAGCGUGAGUGACGGUAAUGGGUAAAGAAGCACCGGCUAACUACGUG
rnacentral:rRNA from 1 species